rnacentral:rRNA from 1 species
GAUGAACGCUGGCGGCGUGCCUAAUACAUGCAAGUCGAGCGAACAGACGAGGAUCUUGCUCCUCUGACGUUAGCGGCGGACGGGUGAGUAACACGUGGAUAACCUACCUAUAAGACUGGGAUAACUUCGGGAAACCGGAGCUAAUACCGGAUAAUAUAUUGAACCGCAUGGUUCAAUAGUGAAAGACGGUUUUGCUGUCACUUAUAGAUGGAUCCGCGCCGCAUUAGCUAGUUGGUAAGGUAACGGCUUACCAAGGCGACGAUGCGUAGCCGACCUGAGAGGGUGAUCGGCCACACUGGAACUGAGACACGGUCCAGACUCCUACGGGAGGCAGCAGUAGGGAAUCUUCCGCAAUGGGCGAAAGCCUGACGGAGCAACGCCGCGUGAGUGAUGAAGGUCUUCGGAUCGUAAAACUCGGUUAUUAGGGAAGAACAAAUGUGUAAGUAACUAUGCACGUCUUGACGGUACCUAAUCAGAAAGCCACGGCUAACUACGUG